UUUUAUGAUUUUUAGUUAUAAAUAAUUUAAUCAAUGCUUAAAUUUUAGUUUCGCAGUGUGUGGUGUUGGUGAAUGGCGUGGAGGUCGACAAGAAUAUGGAGGAUUACCUGAAAAGUAAGAAAUAAUGAUUUUAAAAGCCCUCGUACAUACAGUGGAUCACAACUGACAACUUUCAAUCUGUAUAGUGGAUAAACUAAAAGAGGGUUAAAAACUUCCGAGGACGGAUUGGAAUCGCCUCCAGUGAAAGUGAAGCGUAGGGUCAUUUUAAGAAAACUACAAAUAAUGUUCAUGGAAUUGCAACUACUGCGGUCAGUAACGGAUGGAAACACAACAAAUCUGCUGGACCACCGUAAACAGCUGCAUCCGGUUCGGUUAAAAUCUGAAAAAAAAACCAAAUGCCAAAAGCGA